rnacentral:rRNA from 1 species
GACGAACGCUGGCGGCGUGCUUAACACAUGCAAGUCGAACGGAAAGGCUCCAGCUUGCUGGAGUACUCGAGUGGCGAACGGGUGAGUAACACGUGGGCAAUCUGCCCUGCACUCUGGGAUAAGCCUGGGAAACUGGGUCUAAUACUGGAUAUGACCUUUCUCCUUAUGGGGUUUGGUGGAAAGUUUUUCGGUGUAGGAUGAGCCCGCGGCCUAUCAGCUUGUUGGUGGGGUGAUGGCCUACCAAGGCGACGACGGGUAGCCGGCCUGAGAGGGUGAUCGGCCACAUUGGGACUGAGAUACGGCCCAGACUCCUACGGGAGGCAGCAGUGGGGAAUAUUGCACAAUGGGCGGAAGCCUGAUGCAGCGACGCCGCGUGAGGGAUGACGGCCUUCGGGUUGUAAACCUCUUUCAGCAGGGACGAAGCGUAAGUGACGGUACCUGCAGAAGAAGCACCGGCUAACUAUGUG